AAUGCACCAGUGGGGUCCCUCGGCCUGGCCUGGGACCCCUCGGGGGAUGUUGGAGAACCAGUUUUGGCCUGAUCCCUGCAGGCCAGGCUGAGGGACCCCACUGGUGCACG
rnacentral:pre_miRNA from 1 species